AUGCGCUGCCUUUGAGCCCCCGUCGCGCCUGCGCGUGGCGCCAGGGAUUAAGCUGCAGCUCCAGAGCACGUGCUCGCGCAUAACUGGGACCGCCCACGAUCGGUCCUUUUAACCGCGAGCGACAGGG
ensembl:snoRNA